CGGUGUUCAACUGGCGUGUCCGCGGGACGUCCUGCCGGUGGGCUUAGCCCGCAAGGGCGGCCCAACUUCAAAUCCCAUCGCGGUGCUCUUCACUGAGUGUCGAGGUGGGCCGGCACGUUUACUUUGAACAAAUUAGAGUGCUUAAAGCAGGCUAAAACUUCGCCUGAAUACUGUGUGCAUGGAAUAAUGGAAUAGGACCUCGGUUCUAUUUUGUUGGUUUUCGGAACCCCGAGGUAAUGAUUAAUAGGAACGGAUGGGGGCAUUCGUAUUGCGACGUUAGAGGUGAAAUUCUUGGAUCGUCGCAAGACGGACAGAAGCGAAAGCAUUUGCCAAAAACGCUUUCAUUGAUCAAGAACGAAAGUUAGAGGUUCGAAGGCGAUCAGAUACCGCCCUAGUUCUAACCAUAAACGAUGCCAGCUAGCGAUCCGUCGACGUUCCUCCGAUGACUCGACGGGCAGCUUCCGGGAAACCAAAGCUUUUGGGUUCCGGGGGAAGUAUGGUUGCAAAGCUGAAACUUAAAGGAAUUGACGGAAGGGCACCACCAGGAGUGGAGCCUGCGGCUUAAUUUGACUCAACACGGGAAACCUCACCAGGCCCGGACACCGGAAGGAUUGACAGAUUGAGAGCUCUUUCUUGAUUCGGUGGGUGGUGGUGCAUGGCCGUUCUUAGUUGGUGGAGCGAUUUGUCUGGUUAAUUCCGAUAACGAACGAGACUCUAGCCUGCUAGCUAGGCGUAUUUUCGACAUCUCAAAGGUCCGUCGUCCCGGCCCUCGGGUCGUGGGCGUGCGCGAUUUUUACUGUCGGCGUACUAUCAAUUCUUCUAGAGGGACAGGUGGCUUCUAGCCGCACGAGAUUGAGCAAUAACAGGUCUGUGAUG
rnacentral:rRNA from 1 species